rnacentral:tRNA from 1 species
GGACGCAUAGCUCAGUUGGCAGAGCAGCUGACUCUUAAUCAGCGGGUCCUAGGUUCGAGCCCUAGUGCGUCCACCA